ensembl:lncRNA
GUCAGUGUAAACAUUCUGAACUUAAUAUUGAAUGGAUAGUCUUCUUGAACAAUAGUUCAUUCACCCUUUUUGCCCAGGCAUUGAAAUGCCUAUUAAGAGAGAGGAGGAAAGAGUUAGAAUGAGAAGCAGAGGAAAAGAUACAUUUUUGUCCACCAAAUCCUUUUCAAGUCUGUUUGAGCUCUAGCACUGCAGCCACCCACUGAGAGACCAAUGCGGAGUGCUGCAGCUGCUUCUGCGGGACAGGACGACCCCUAUGUGUCCUGCUCAGAGACAGAGCUCCCAUGAGACAUGAGAGAGGAUGAAUACUCUCUCCUUGCACCACACCGGCUCUCCCAGCACACCCCGUUUUCUCUCCAUCGCCUGGAUGGAGUCUGAGGCAGCCACAAGCACCGGCUGCAACAGUAAUUGGAACAUAAUGGAACAUUUUUGCCGACUGAACUGAACCCUUUGCCCCUAUCACCUUCUGAACCACUCGCAAAAUAGGCCCACACUCCACAGCCUACUGUGCACACACACACACACACACACACACACACACACACACACACACACACACACACACACACACCUCAGUGCUGAUUGACCACUUUGGCAGGAAUCAUACAAGCACAUCCCACACACAAUGUACACCAAAAACUGAGAAACACAUGUAUGGUUUUCAGAGUUUAUCUCUUUACUCUUUUUUUCAAGAGUUCUACAAAAGAUGCCACAAAAUACUGUACAUUAUGAGGAGAUGUUCACUGGUGGGACUGAGUGAAAAUCAUGUUAAAUUAUGUUAAUUUUUAAUGAUAAAUAAAAUCCAAUUAAUUCUACCGCUGAUGUGGACAGAAGAAUAUACUAUAAUACUCUGAUCCCUACAUUAAUAUUCAGCACAAAU